GAGGUUUUAGCUCAGUUGGGAGAGCGUCAGACUGAAGUAACAGUUAGUAAUCUGAAGGUCAUGUGUUCAAUCCACAUAAACCUCA